UUCUCCUUACCCACCCCACUACGCCAACUCCGGGGAAUACGACCAUUAUCAUAGCUCAUAAUAUUGCCAUUGUUUAUAUUAUAUCAGCAUUACCAUUAUCAUUCUUUUUACUGUAUUGAAAUAGCCUUGAAGGGCGAGAGGUGGCCGUGUGGGGGCGUGCGGGUCUCGGCCACGCCCACCACCACCACCAUCAUGGCCGACCUCUCCCGUAUUUAUUAGUGUUCCCGUGGCCCAGGAGUCUCUGUGCCUGGCGUCCUGCACCGUACCCGCUUCCAACAAGAUGUAGUUCGAGUUGUGGUGGCGACAGACGCAGCAGCUUACUCACGAAGCUCACCAGGUCCUCACAGAAUCGGUCGGCCUCGGAAGGUGUGGCGUGCAGGCCGCGAGUGUCCACCAGGUAGCCCACAGCCUCGUCCAGGGCCGCCCUUAGCUGGAGGAGGAACUGCCCGGUCCUGCGGAGGAGAGAAGACUUAGGAACACAGAGGAGCUCGUCCCCAGCAAACAGCGCCACAGUGAGGGGCUGCAGCAGGGAGAGGUCACGUGCCACUGUCCUCCGGUUGACUGCAUCCCGGCUGAGGUUGAGGCAGAGCAGGUGUGGGGGCAGGGAGGUGGUGUUCUUUGGGGGCUG